CCCUCACCCUAUUUCCUAUCACGGUAUUAAAGUUCAAAAUGAUAAAAUGGUAUUUCUUGAAUUAACGAAUGUGUGAAAUUGCUUAAGGUUGCUAAUGGAGUCCGAGUCUAGUGUGAUUGGUGAUUUACUGUUAUUUGGCCUGUUUACAGCUUUAAAUGCAAAAUGAGGUUUGAUGUGUUCAUUUUACAGAUUCGUGUGCAUAUAUUACGUUUUUAUUGGUUAUGGGUUGAAUGACUGAAAAACUGAUACCGUAUGUUGUCUGUUUGGCAUGAAUUACGAUUUGCUUGUUUAAAAUGU
rnacentral:lncRNA from 1 species